AGACAGGUGUCAGCAGCCGCGGUAAUACGUAGGGCGCAAGCGUUAUCCGGAAUUAUUGGGCGUAAAGAGCUCGUAGGCGGUUUGUCGCGUCUGCCGUGAAAGUCCGGGGCUCAACUCCGGAUCUGCGGUGGGUACGGGCAGACUAGAGUGAUGUAGGGGAGACUGGAAUUCCUGGUGUAGCGGUGAAAUGCGCAGAUAUC
rnacentral:rRNA from 1 species